UAUAUAUUUAAAAAAUCCAAGGUGCAUGUAAUCUAAAAUACUAUCUUCAUUGUUGUCAGUUGCUAUUCUAAGGUAGUUAGUGAUGCUCAAAACAUUUGUAGACAAAGUAUCAGCAUUGACCAAUUAGAAUGGGCAUGGGCUGCAUGUCACUGUGCAUAUACACUGUUGACUCCUGCUAGACUUUUCUUUGGUGGGUAGAUUUUUUUAUUGGCUGAAAGCCCCCUAAAUUGAGUACAUUCUCAUUUACCCCAGGCAGAACUGCUUCUGCAGAGUUCUCUGUCUUUGGACAUCAUCCUAGAAGCCCCCUGUGGCUCCAGUCAUCUUCCUCUCCGAAGCAGCUGAAGGACCAAGAGGAUAGAAGUAGAAUUCCUAUUCAGCCAAAGGAAGACUGGCCAGAAGGGAAGAAAUCACAUCUGGUUUUAUUCAUUAAACAACUUUUUAAGGACCCACUAUGUACCAGAUGGCCGUCUUCUCACCGUGUCCUCACAUGGCAGAAGGGGACAUUUCCUGAGUCUUCCCUGACUUUGUGGAGUAAGUUAUGUGGCCUUGUUACCUGUUGGCUUGCAUGCAGAUGGGAAGUGGGGAGUUCUGAACCUUCAUUUUCAAUGAGAUCUUGCUAUUUUAAUAAGCUUAACCUUUGUAUCAGUCAAGUCAUUCAUAAUAGGAGACAUCAUUCACCAGAUGGCUCAAAUAAAGACAUGAGAUUAGUUACAGAGACGUGAGAGGGGAAGGGAACCAACAAAGGCUGGCAAGGACAUGGAGACUGGCAAAAGUGGGAAGUCGUUACCCUCUAGAACUGAAAGGAAGAAAACAGCGUUUCUAGAACCCAGUGAGAUCUGGAACUGCGAAGGGUCUGCCCAUGAGAACCGUGAAGGAAUGCAACUACUGCCAGAGAAACAGUGUUAACGCAGAAGACAGAGAACUACGCUGGAAAUUAGGAGACCUGAGCUGUAUCCCAGCUUCUGGCUCACUUCUGACACAAACCAUUCAACUUCCUUGAGCC
rnacentral:lncRNA from 1 species